CAAGGAGAAUGAAGCCAAGGAUGAAUUGCCGGCGACUUUAGGAAUUCAAUGCGAACGCCUUUCAAGUCUCCAAUUUCUGUUGGCAAUUCAUUCUUGGCUACGUUGGCCUCUCU
rnacentral:pre_miRNA from 1 species